rnacentral:rRNA from 3 species
GGACUACUAGGGUUUCUAAUCCCGUUCGCUCCCCUGGCUUUCGCGUCUCAGCGUCAGAAAACGUCCAGGACCUCGCUUUCGCCACGGGCGUUCCUUCCGAUCUCAACGCAUUUCACCGCUCCACCGGAAGUUCCAGGUCCCCCUACGUUCCUCGAGGACGGUCGUAUCGGCGCCCAUUCCCCGGUUGAGCCGGGGGCUUUCAGCGACCGACGUGCCGUCCCGCCUACACGCGCUUUAAGCCCAGUGAUUCCGAAUAACGUUUGCACGGUUCGUCUUACCGCGGCUGCUGGCAC